rnacentral:lncRNA from 1 species
UCUUGAAUAUGUUAAGAAAGUGUUAUUUGUGUAGAAGAGUUUCAAAUCAUGUGAGUGAUGAAGGGACCCUUCUUUUGAACCUUGGUGUGCAUUUUAGGUCCAUUUUGGGUUUACUCCUUUGUGCUGCUUCAUGAUGCCUUAGGACAAGGACAAGGCCUAGGCCUCCUUGUCUCAGUUCCCUCCUGCUCUCUUUUGCCCUCCUCCUUCCGCCUGGAGCAUGGCCCAGCAUCAGGUUGGCGCAUGCUGUGAUCAGCCUCUUCCAUGCACCACACCAAGCAAAGCUCUCUGGGUGACACAGUUGCCACCACCAGGGCACUGACCUUUACUCUGUAUUCUCCUAGCUCCUCCUGAGGGUGCUGUAGGAGACAUCUGCAAAAAAGAAGAUGCUGGCAGUAUGCCGUCAACCUCAGAGGGGAGUAU